rnacentral:tRNA from 1 species
GUCGCUGUAGCGCAGCUGGAAGCGCACCUGUUUUGGGAACAGGAGGCCGCGGGUUCGAGCCCCGCCGGCGGCACCA